UCAAAACUGAACCGAAAAUGCAAGACUUGCUUUAAUUGUUUUGCUUCAAUUUCUUUCUGUAUUAUUUACUAUAAUGGAACUCAUGUUAUGAACACUCUGCUAGAUCAAUACAUAUAAAUACUGACAGAAAACAAUUAAAGCAAGUCUUGCAUUUUCGGUUCAGUUUUGA
rnacentral:miRNA from 1 species